rnacentral:tRNA from 1 species
GCCCCGCAAACAACCAAAGUGCAAAUUUGGCCAAACACCCCAAAGGGUGUCGGGGCUUCUCCCGUUUUAAAAGAGACGGGAGAAGG